AUACGGAGGGUCCAAGCGUUAUCCGGAAUCAUUGGGUUUAAAGGGUCCGUAGGCGGGCAAUUAAGUCAGAGGUGAAAUCCCACAGCUCAACUGUGGAACUGCCUUUGAUACUGGUUGUCUUGAGUUAUAGUGAAGUAGAUAGAAUAUGUAGUGUAGCGGUGAAAUGCAUAGAUAUUACAUAGAAUACCGAUUGCGAAGGCAGUCUACUAACUGUAUACUGACGCUAAUGGACGAAAGCGUGGGGAGCGAACAGGAUUAGAAACCCCAGUAGUCC
rnacentral:rRNA from 1 species